UACAGAGGGGGCAAGCGUUAUUCGGAAUUAUUGGGCGUAAAGGGCGCGUAGGCGGCUUGGCAAGUGGAAGGUGAAAUCCCUCGGCUUAACCGAGGAACUGCCCUCCAAACUGCUUUGCUUGAGGCCGGGAGAGGUGAGUGGAAUUCCCAGUGUAGCGGUGAAAUGCGUAGAUAUUGGGAGGAACACCAGUGGCGAAGGCGGCUUCCUGGUCCAGCACCGACGUUCAGGCACGAAAGCGUGGGGAGCAAACAGG
rnacentral:rRNA from 1 species